UCGGCCUCCUCGACCCCGGCCCGCCCUGCGUGGACGCCGCCCCGGCCGGCCCACGCCCUAGCCUGGCCGGCCCCCUCUGCUCCGGCGACCGCCCCUUGCUGCUCCGGUGGUCAUCCCCUGCCCCGACCUGAACCCCCUCACCCUCCCCUGCCCAACCGCCCCCUGCUCCGAGGAUUUCUGGUGUUGUCUCCGGUGGAGUGAUCGUUGACGUUGGAGCUCUUGGUCUUCAAUUGUCCCUUCGCUGAUCGACUACAUCAUCUACAUCCGAGGGUUUGCUAAUCAUGGGCAAGUCCAGCGGCGCCAGUUUCCUCAGUAAAUUCAAAGGACUUACUCGGAGUGGACGAGCCCACAAGGUUCCCUCCUGACUACGCGAGGAUGACACCUCACAGGGAGGUGGAGGGGUCGGGGGAGGAGACCCAAGAGGAGAAGGGGGUGGGGGAGAGCCCCUAGAGGAGGAGGAGGUGGGGGGAGAGGCAGUCGGGGCAAAAAACUCCGGGCCGUGUCCGAAAUAGGAGGGUCUUCUUCGAUGCCCUUCUAUACUGAGGCACCUUCUGAGUCUGAGGAGGAGGAGUAAGUUCCUGAUGGCGAGGAGGAGGAGGGCGAGGAG